AUGAUUGUGGUUCAACAGUGGACACGUGGACUGUGCGUCUCUCCCUAACUCCCAUUGUAACGUCAGGUUCUGCAGGUGUGACGUGGGCUACGGGAUCUACGGAGACGUCUGUCGCAUCCUCACAGAUUGAAGAGCUUGUAAAAUGAUUGUGGUUCAACAGUGGACACGUGGACUGUGCGUCUCUCCCUAACUACCCAUUGUAACGUCAGGUUCUGCAGGUGUGACGUGGGCUACGGGAUCUACGGAGACGUCUGUCGCAUCCUCACAGCGACAACUUCACCUUGUACAAGUCCUCAGUCGUCCAUGGCUACGCCCUCCAACAAGGGUAAUUUUACGAAUCAUGCACAGCGUUCUGCAUCGGCGACACCAAGAGUCAGUCGGCAUACUUUGACUUUGGUGGGAAGAGUGUCACUUGAAUACGAUCACUUGGUUCGACUCUGUUCCAUCUAAACGUGUUACCAACAGCCUAAAAUUUGACUUGUUCCAGCGGGAGUGCCUUUGGUGACUUAACUGAAGUUAAUUCUGAACUGACAAUUUAAUAUUCUAAACGGGAACAUUUGGGAAAGAUGUAACUUUAAAAAAAAAAAUGUUUUACAAAUGUAUUGCUCUAUUAUAAAAAAGAAUUGU